CCGACCGCAGGCAGGCAGGUAGCACAGAAGUACAGGGUUCAGAGAGGGCAGCGGGUGGGGGCUGCCCAGGCCCCUCCCACUCUGACCACACGGCCCUCCAGACCUCACAUCCCCGCUCCGCAGGACGCUCACCCUGCAUCCACGGCCCUCUCUGUGCUGAGGAUACUGAGGAAGGCCUGGCGUCUGUGGUCUCACCCUUGGGAUCCCCAGAGCAACACCUGCCUGCCUCAGCAUCUAGCCAGGCCGCCUGGCACUCUGGGCCCUUGGGGGUCCUGGCUUAAGUCCUGCCCCACUCUGGCCCGGGGCCAGUCCCCACGGGUGGCAGUACCCGCCCCUUUCAGCUUGUGCCCGCCCCACGGCUCUAGGUCACAAGGGCCAAGGUGGCAGGUGCCCACAGUUGGGCCAGCUGGGGUGGGAGAGCUCUGCCCAACCGGGGCUCCUGUGAGCUUGCCUGUGCCCAGGGUGGUGCACUCGCCAUCUCUUGGCUUAGGAGGACGAGCUGACUCUGGGGCCGUGGCGGCGGUGCCUGAGCACCCUUCUCUUCUGCCUCAGGCCGUGGACGUGCCUGGACUGGGGGCGCCUGGCAGCCCGCCUGCUCAGGCCCUCCCGGCAUCCGUCUGCCACCCCCUCAGGCGCAGUGCGGGCCACACAGUGAGAGCCACAGCAACCCUGCCGGAGGCCCCGUGUGACACAGCUGCCAGCCUGCCUGGGCACGCUGCCCGGUGGGGCUGGGGGAGGGGCAGGCCCACGGGCGCUGAGUCAGCUGCCCCCGCAUGGUCCCGUCCCCACCCGGGCAGGGAUGUUGGUGAGGUUGGGGGUGGAGGGGGUGCAGCUCCCAUCUUUGGGGGAGCUGUCAAUGGCUGGGGAUUUUCUGGAAAGUGGCUCCUGCAGGAGCCAGGCCUGGAGGGGCGGCGGGGGCGGGUGGGGUGGGGUGGGGUGGGAAUGAGAGGAAGGGCCUUCCCGGAAGACAGGCCCUUUCCAAACAACACCAAAAAGGGAGAAGGGAGAGGACCGACCAGCCUGAGCGGAGGGAAGGAAGCGCUGAGUCAGCACCGAGCCGGCCUCCCUCUGCCAAUCAGGCGCCGGAGGGGACAGGGACUCUCAAGGUCAGCGGACGUCAAUACCCGCGGGCGUCCCAGUGGACCGCCCUUCCUCCGCCGCAGUGGGGGGCACGCUCCCCCAGAACAGGGGGGCGGGGCCGGGGGCGGCCGCCUGCCCCGGCCAUCCUCCCGGUGGGGGCUGCGUCCUCCCCCAGGCUGUGCACUCAGGAGGUCAGGGCGGUGGGAGGACAUGGCGGUCUGA
rnacentral:lncRNA from 1 species